rnacentral:rRNA from 1 species
UACGAAGGGGGCUAGCGUUGUUCGGAUUUACUGGGCGUAAAGCGCACGUAGGCGGAUUGUUAAGUCGGGGGUGAAAUCCUGGAGCUCAACUUCAGAAUUGCCUUCGAUACUGGCUUUCUAGAGGCUGGAAGAGGUUAGUGGAAUUCCCAGUGUAGAGGUGAAAUUCGUAGAUAUUCGGAGGAACACCAGUGGCGAAGGCGGCUCACUGGUCCAUUACUGACGCUGAGGUGCGAAAGCGUGGGGAGCAAACAGG